AACGCGAAGAACCUUACCUACCCUUGACAUGUCAAGAAUCCUGGUUAAGAGCUGGGAGUGCCGAAAGGAACUUGAACACAGGUGCUGCAUGGCUGUCGUCAGCUCGUGUCGUGAGAUGUUGGGUUAAGUCCCGUAACGAGCGCAACCCUUGUCCUUCGUUGCCACCCGAAAGGGGAACUCGAAGGAGACUGCCGGUGAUAAACCGGAGGAAGGUGGGGAUGACGUCAAGUCAUCAUGGCCUUUAUGGGUAGGGCUACACACGUGCUACAAUGGGCGUUACAGAGGGUCGCGAACUCGUGAGAGGGAGCCAAUCUUAGAAAAGCGCUCGUAGUCCGGAUCGGAGUCUGCAACUCGACUCCGUGAAGUCGGAAUCGCUAGUAAUCGCGAAUCAGAAUGUCGCGGUGAAUACGUUCCCGGGCCUUGUACACACCGACUGUAC
rnacentral:rRNA from 1 species